CACACUGGACUUUCCCUUCUUCUUUCUGCUCCAAACAUUACUGCAGAAGCCCUUGCAGUGGCCCUCAGUGCUUCCGCCUGUCUUCCUUCGGGCAGUGUCUGUUUAGGUGACAGGGCCACGGUCUUCUCUUUGGAUAUUCUCUUCCAAGAGUCAAGCUCCCUGGAGGGCAGCACAACUGCAUUUUGGAGCCAACUCCCCCAUUUUUAUACCAGGGUCAUUUAUGAUGGCCAUGAGAACCUCGUUUUGGUUUGUUUGUUUGGUUUUUUUUUUUCCUUGGAGGCUGCCAUGGUCCCAGGGUCAUUUUGUCUUUCAUAGUCACGGAAAUAGCCUUUUUUGUCCUGAACUUACUGAAGGCCCCGAUGGCUCCCUUAUUAAGAGGGCACCCCUUUCUGCUGAGCUUGUCAAGGGGUUAGGGGGAAGGCUGGAUCUUCUUGCCCUGACUCCUCUUCCUCCUGAAUUCCUCUUGCUCUUGGGGACGUCCAGCAAGUGUGGCUAUUCCAUGGCGCUGGUCUCACUGGAAUGCCUUCCACCAGACUCUAGUCAACUGUAAACAGAAUCCCCUCUCCCUGCCUUGAAUCCCAGCAACGCAGCUGGAAAGUACUGACACAUGUUCUAAAGACCCAGAGUUAACAGAAUGAGCACCUAGAGGUUCUGGUGCAGGAUGCCUUUCUGCUCCUGCUCACUAAGGGCUGCCUCCACUGUUCUGCCUCAUUCCAUAACCAGGAUGAUGGGGAGGGGCACAGAGAGGGAUAAUGGUAGGAACCAGAACCUAAGAUAAGAGUCCAGGAAAGCCUGAGAUUUGCUGGGAAGGGAAGGGAAUGGCAGCAGAAGGCACAGGAGUGGAAGAGCCCAUGUGAGAGGACGGAAAGUGAAAAGUGGGGAAAGGCUUUGAAGGGCCAGGGAGUGGGAGAUAAUGAGUGCUAGAGUGAAGGGGCCUCCGGAGGGUGUGGGUACCACUGUGAGUUAGGUGUUGGAUUGCCUAGUCAUCUUCGAAAGAUUCGAGUAAGCCAUGGAUACUUGGUUAAUGGGCUGUGUUUCUUUGACUUCAAAGUACUGACACAUCUUCUAAAGACACAGAGUUAAUGGAAUGAGCACCUAGAGGUUCUGGUGCAGGAUGUCUUUCUGCUCCUGCCUCCACUGUUCUGCUUCAUUCCAUAAUCAGGAUGAUGGGAAGGGGCAUGAGCUCGGACUGAGCCAUACGCGACCCAGGAUUAUUUUAGAAUACACAGACAACUAGGACACACAUGCAGUUGGGUUCACAAGCUAUAUUUCACUUCAUCACUGUCAGCCUAGCAGAUCAACUGCAUCCCAACUCAACACAGCAGGUGUAAGGGCCGAACCAAGGGUGCUCAUGGGAAGCAGCUGGGUGGACAUCUCACCUUCCAGAAGUCUAAGGGGUUCAUCUGGAAAGAUCCAGCGGCUCCUCUCCCCGCCUGGAUCCUAUUCCCACAUGUGCACGUCACCUCUGUUCACGGCUGAUACACACACAAAUGAGCAGCAUUUCUGACACACAUGUGCAACUGAAUCCCCUAACUUAGUGGUUCUCUACUUUGGUUGUGCAUUAGCAGCUUAACAGAAUCUUGAUGUCUGGGUGCCUCCCAGACCAAGUCAGUUAGAAUCUCUAGGUGGGACCCAGGAAUUUGUCCUUGGUAAAUCCCCCCGAGUGGUACCAGUGUGCAGCCAGGGUUGAGAAUGCCUGUCCUAAUUACCAACCAUGUUUUAGCAUCAACAAAUCAGACGGGAGCCGAGCUCUUUAAUAUUCCCCAUCCUCACCUGCGGUAUCUACCUAGUAUCCAACAUGAGGCUAAUCAAGAAUCCUCAGCGCCGAGUGUAAGCAACAGCUGGGAUCCAUUUGGCAAGACACAAGCCCUGCUGUAUUUGGCAGACACAGAACCCCAGCUUUUGCAAAGUCUGAAGGUCCCAGAGAGAGCGGGCAUGUUGUCUGUGACCUAGGCCAUCCCAUUAGAUAGCUUGUGGCUCCUACGGCCCCUCUGCAGGCUGUUGCUGCCCACUAGGCGCCAGCAGGUGUGGCUCCCAGCUUCUCAGCAGAGCACAGGCUUCUUUUUCUGAUACACUCACCAGCAUCACGGCCCCUCCCCAGGUCAGCUGCUCCCCACAGGCCUCCCUUCCACUUCCGUCACCACUACCACUUCUUCCAGGGGUUGCCCCCUUGGCUGGGCCCCCUGCUGCUUCCACUAGGUCCUGCUGCUACCAGGCACUGAAGUGAGUCAUCUGUCACAAGAGUGGGUAAGAACAUCUAUCUUUUUUCUGCUUUGUAUCCCAACACAGGGCCCAGGGCAGAGGCAUGGCUGACCCACCUCCUCACCCCAGGUCUCCAGCCUCGGACCUGGGUCUCACCCCUCCACCCUAAGGCCACAGCCCCAGUGCCUCUUCCAGCAGUGGGAAGGCCUCCUACAGAGCACCCCUCCUGCUCAAGCUGCCUCUCCCUGAGCCCUGACCAGCAUGCCAGAUCUGUGCCAGAGCCCCCACGGCUGGAUUCCAGCCACUCACACAGCCACAGCCCAAGGGUCAGGGGGCUACAUGCCCAGGUACACUUGGCAAGUGUGGUAUCUUGGCAAGUGUGGUAUCUUAGCAAGCUGGGAUUUUACAACCCUCACACACUGGCAGGCUAGACUGAAGGCCAAUGAGAGGGGAGGGCAUAGGAGCCUGGAGCACCCUGCCAACGUCACACCGUCCCCUCCCUCUAAGGGACUGUGGGAGAACCAGGGUUCUGGAAGGGGGCACAGAAUGUGGGUGAGAGAUGCACUUAAUUAGCGGUAUCUAAUUUGUUUUCUUAAAAAAAUUUUUUUUUCAGUAAGCAUCCCACUCCUGUAAUUGUUAAUUUUAAAACCUGUGUCUGAAAACCACGUCCACUAAAGCAGGGAGUGUCUGGCUCUCUCUGGUCGCAAAGGUGAGCAGCUGCUUCUCAUCAUUUAAUUCUUUGUGAUCUGAAAUGUGCUGCUCCUUCCUGAAUUGGUCACCCUGAGACAUCACCUAGUGGCCUUGCUGACCGCGGAGGACUAGACCCCCCCCACCCCACCUGCCACACAUACACCCAAAUGCUGUCAUUUUCAGUGCCUCCCCCUAACACUCAGGAAGUUUGGGGAGAGCAGUGGCCUUCCCAUCCUUCUCUCGCUCUUUCCUUCCUGGUCUUGUCUCCACCCAGUGUCAGUUUUGCUUUAAUUUUAUCAAGAUUAUGGGAUGAAAGAAGUGCCCAGAUUUCAGAGGAAUUUAGAACAUGGAAAGAAAGACAAGACUCAACAGGUGACUGGCUGGGAGAAAUAACAAAAAAGGGGGAGGUGGGCCUGGGCCGCUCUGGGGCCUCAGCCUCUGUGACCGCACAGAUGGUGAUUUGCUGAGAGGAGAGGAAGGGAGUCUGAGGAUUCUGUGGGGUAUCUGAGUGCAGAUGUUGGCAGGCCAGCGGCUCUACUGGCCUGGCGGGCAGGAGCCUGUAGUGGCUGUGGAUGCAGCCGAGGGCAGGGUCAGCGUGCACAGACUAAAAAGAGAGCCUAGAACCUAAGCUGGAAAAACAACACUGAAAAGGACAGAGAGACCUGAAAGGGUAGUGAGGAGGAGCAGCCAAAGCUGCAGGGGAACCUCCUGAGCCCAAGAAAAGCAGAGUCUUUCGGGGGGAUUUAGGACUAAAGGUGACCAGUGGACCUGGAGCAUGGAGGUCACCCUGGUGCUGGUGGCAGGGCUCAGGCAUGGUGGGGAGGGAGCGCCUGGGGUGGGUGGGGAGUGAAGGCUGAAGGGGAAUGCAGGGAGGGGGAUGGGGGUGGGGGCAAGAUGGGCAAGGCUUUCUUCAGGUAGCUCUGGGAGAGUGUUUGAAGAUGCAGAUGAGGAUGGGAGAUGGAUCGAGGCUCCCAGGGAGGUGGGAGGGCUGGGGCCCCGAAGAAGGGGAGUGAGUCCCAGAGUUGGGUGGCCCUCUCCACCAUCCUACCAGGAGGGACGGAGGAAGGACGUGAUGGGGUCAAUCUGCCAUCAGUGACGCAAGAUGUGGGCUGCUCCCAUGCCACCUGUCCCAUCUGUUCUCCUAGGGCAGAAGGUUCAGUCACCUGCUGAAAGCUAGGGUGGGGACGAGGGAGCAGGGCUAGGGGAGUGGCAGCUCACAAGUAGCUGUGGGGGUGGGGGGCCGGGUGAGCGCUGAGGCUGGAGUGCCAGGGAGCCCUGGAGACAGACAGUCCCUGCAGCUUUCACUUGCCUGGACUUCUCACCAACAGAAGUUGGCCUCCAGGUGGCAGAGCUGAGCAGGAACGCCACUCUGAAUCCUUCCAGGGCUGUCUUUGGAGGACAGCCUACCGGAGGCCAAGGUGGGCAGGGCUCCGGAGAUCCUGGUGAAAGAUUGGCUUAAACACUGGACUUUGCUGGCUGGUGGGAGGGAAGUUAAGGGCAGAGGGAGCCGGAAGGGAGAGCAGAGGCCUGAGAGACAACUGAGAGCUCAAGGACCAGGAGGCUGUGGUCAGAGUGUGAGUGGGCUGGUUUAGAGAUUCCCAGUUCUCGGUCUACCCUAAGGAGCUGAACGCAGAUGCUCAAACAGAAACCUGCACAGGGAUGUUUAUGGCAGCACUAGUCACAGCAGCCAAAUGGUGGAAACAACCCACGUAUCUAUCAGCCGAUGAAUGGAUAAACAAAACGUAGGACAGCCAUCCAGGAGAAUGUUAUUCAGCCAUAACAAGGAAUGACGUUCUAACACACACAAUAUGAUGAACCUGGAAAACACAUUUUACUAAAUGCAAGGCAGCCAGCCACGAGAGAACUGUGUGAGUCCAUUUCUUGGAAACGCGAGGCGCUGCAUGGAGACGGGCAGGCGGGUGGGGGCCGGAGGGUGGGGGAUGGGGACGUGAGGAGCGACUGACUCAUGGUGUGGGGUUUCCUUUUUGGGGUCAUGAAAAUAUUCCGGAGCUAGAGAAGGGGGAUGGUUAUACCAGACUGAGUGUAUGAAGUGUCACUGAACUGUACACACUUUAAUUGAAAUGGUGACUUUUAUGCGAAUUUCACAACCAAAAGAAACCGUAGUUUUUUUAACAAAGGGAUUGGUACCAUUUAUAAUUACUAUUAUUAUGCUAUAAUUAUAAUUUACAGAGAAGGAAACUGAGGCAGAAUGAAGGUAUACUUCUCAAGGUCACAUACCUAUUAAGAGCCUGGACCAGUGGGGUUUUUGUUGUUGUUGGUCUUGGUGUUUUCUUUUUAGGGUCACACCUGCCGCACAGGGCUGAAUUGGAGCUGCAGCUGCCGCCCUAUGGCACAGCUCACGCCACCGCUGGAUCCUUAGCCCACUAAGCAAGGCUGGGAUAGAACCCGAGUCCUCAUGGAUUCAAGCAUCUUUACCGAAAGCGGGGAGAGCUGUCUCUGGAUCAGAGCGUGGACCCACCUGUGGGAAGUGGGGAGAGGGGAUCAUCUCCCAGGUCACUUUCUCCCAGGCCCAUCGAAAAAGGGCACCAUCUCCACGGCACUCUCUGCACCAGGGUUUUGCCAACUACAUCUGCGACCCAUGAAUGGAUCAUGAAAGCAACGUGAUGACUGGCACUUUUUUGGAUUACAGACAAAAGCACCGAAUAGAAAAUAUUAGCAUA